ACUGAGCUGACAUCCUCCUGGCGAGCCGCUCUCCAUGGCUUCUGGCUUCAGCCCUACCCUGAGCUUCCAUCCUGAAUACCUGAUGAAUGUGGAAAAUAAAGAAACCUUGGGCAAGAUGUGACUCCUCUGCUCUAAAAGGUGGGGGUAAAAAACAAUCUAUAAAAGGCCUCAGGAAUAAUGGCUCAUAAUGUUAAUUGUAAAAAGGAAGGAGAAUAGUAUUCAGCACUGACACGUGCAACCUGCGGAUAAACCUGGAAAACAUCGGGCAGAGCGAAAGGAGCCGGACAGAGAUCCCAUACUGUGCUAGGACUCGGUUUACACGAAACACCCAGAGAAGUGAGAACAAAGGCUCCGUGGAACAGACACCCUGUUUUGACUUUUCAUCGCUGGCCACAUUAUCUCACUGCUGUGCCUGGAGCGAGGUCUGGCCCCGAGCAGCAGCGUCCUUGUUGAAAGAAGUGGUGCCUGCAUCCGUCACCGGCUUGAUGGGAGGCCACGGACAGUAAUGCCAAGCCCUCUGACCUGGCGGCCAUGGCCUCGGAGCAGACCUCGCUGCACUCCAGCCAGCUUCACCGGACGACUCUUUCCAGAAGCUGAGAGUGAGCCUCACCAGUCGGACGCCUCCCAGAAGACAGGCUUGUCACACGACAAGUGAGAAGAAAUGGAUUCCUGGCCCUGGAGGGUCGUGGUGCUGAGACCCACGGGUUGGGGGCACUCAUCCCUCCCGAACCCCGGCCCCCUCCCCAGCCCAGGGAAGGUCCAUUACUACAAAACAACUCCAAGCAUGUGAUGUACUGGUAAAGAUUCAAUGAUGCCCGCAGACACCCACAGAGCCACACUUGCAAUUACAAUAAGAAAAAAUAAAUGUCAAUUAACCUGA